GACGAACGCUGGCGGCGUGCUUAACACAUGCAAGUUGAACGGCAACGCCCUGCUUUUUUGUGGUGCUCGAGUGGCGAACGGGUGCGUAACACGUGAGUAACCUGCCCUUUACAUUGGGAUAACUUCUGGAAACUGGGGCUAAUACCCGGUAGUAGUACCUGCUGCAUGGUGUGGGUUGUAAAGUUUGGGCGGUUGGGGAUGGACUCGCGGGUAAGCUGCUUGUUGGUGAGGUAGUGGCUUACCAAGGCCUUGACGGGUAGCCGGCCUGAGAGGGGGACCGGGCACAGGGGGACUGAGAUACGGGACGGAGUCGUAAGGGAGGCAGGAGAGGGGAAUAGUGCACGAUGGGCGGAAGCCGGAUGCAGGAACGCCGCGUGAGGGAUGGCGGCCUUCGGGUAUUAGGCCACUUUCGCCUGUAACGAAGCGUGAGUGACGGUAAUGGAUAAAGAAGCACCGGCUAACUACGUG
rnacentral:rRNA from 1 species